GGCAGCACGGGGGCAACCCUGGUGGCGAGUGGCGAACGGGUGAGUAGUAUAUCGGGACGUGCCCAGUCGUGGGGGAUAACGUAGCGAAAGUUACGCUAAUACCGCAUACGAUCUACGGAUGAAAGCGGGGGAUCGCAAGACCUCGCGCGAUUGGAGCGGCCGAUAUCAGAUUAGGUAGUUGGUGGGGUAAAGGCUCACCAAGCCAACGAUCUGUAGCUGGUCUGAGAGGACGACCAGCCACACUGGGACUGAGACACGGCCCAGACUCCUACGGGAGGCAGCAGUGGGGAAUUUUGGACAAUGGGCGAAAGCCUGAUCCAGCCAUUCCGCGUGCAGGACGAAGGCCUUCGGGUUGUAAACUGCUUUUGUACGGAACGAAAAAGUCUUGGCUAAUACCCAGGAUCCAUGACGGUACCGUAAGAAUAAGCACCGGCUAACUACGUGCCAGCAGCCGCGGUAAUACGUAGGGUGCGAGCGUUAAUCGGAAUUACUGGGCGUAAAGCGUGCGCAGGCGGUUAUAUAAGACAGAUGUGAAAUCCCCGGGCUCAACCUGGGAACUGCAUUUGUGACUGUAUAGCUAGAGUGCGGCAGAGGGGGAUGGAAUUCCGCGUGUAGCAGUGAAAUGCGUAGAUAUGCGGAGGAACACCGAUGGCGAAGGCAAUCCCCUGGGCCUGCACUGACGCUCAUGCAC
rnacentral:rRNA from 1 species